GUUUUUAUAGUGUAAUGAACACGUUACAUUUUCGUUGUAAAACUGAAAUACCUCUUUUUCUAAAAACU
rnacentral:tRNA from 1 species